GACGAACGCUGGCGGCGUGCUUAACACAUGCAAGUCGAACGGAAAGGCCCUGCUUUUGUGGGGUGCUCGAGUGGCGAACGGGUGAGUAACACGUGAGUAACCUGCCCUUGACUUUGGGAUAACUUCAGGAAACUGGGGCUAAUACCGGAUAGGAGCUCCUGCUGCACGGUGGGGGUUGGAAAGUUUCGGCGGUUGGGGAUGGACUCGCGGCUUAUCAGCUUGUUGGUGGGGUAGUGGCUUACCAAGGCUUUGACGGGUAGCCGGCCUGAGAGGGUGACCGGCCACAUUGGGACUGAGAUACGGCCCAGACUCCUACGGGAGGCAGCAGUGGGGAAUAUUGCACAAUGGGCGGAAGCCUGAUGCAGCAACGCCGCGUGCGGGAUGACGGCCUUUGGGUUGUAAACCGCUUUCGCCUGUGACGAAGCGUGAGUGACGGUAAUGGGUAAAGAAGCACCGGCUAACUACGUG
rnacentral:rRNA from 1 species